UUUUCAAGUCAAAUUUAUACAGGGUCAGGGCUGGUCAAUACUUGGAUGGGAGACCGCCUCAGAAUACCAGGUACUAUAGACU
rnacentral:rRNA from 1 species